GGCCAAUCAAAUAUAUGAUAUACCCAUUAAGUCAAAAAUUGACUAUAAAACAAUUUCAAGAUCCAAUUGUAGAAAGCAUUUGUCAACUUGGGUCUGGCUAAGAGAAUCAUAUUCACAUCACAUAUACGAACUUGCUUCUCUACCGUUGGAUUUCUUUUAUUAUAGAGACUAGUGCAGCCUCCUUUUUUAGCUUUAAUAUAUUUCUUUUUCUUCUUUUACCCUCAUUCAACCCAUCUUUAUUUCCUUUUCUCUUUAUAAUUUAAAUUUUUCUUAAUUUUAAUAUUAUCAUAAAUUAAUUUAAAAUAUAAAAUUUUAUUAAAAAUAUAUCAAAAUAUUACUUAAUAUUUAUUAAAUAAUUUAAACUAAUAAAUUUAUUUAAAAUUUACAAAUUAAUUUGACUUGACGGCAAC
rnacentral:misc_RNA from 1 species